rnacentral:rRNA from 1 species
AUCCUAGCUGUAAACGAUGAUAACUAGAUGUGGGAGGUAUCGACCCCUUCCGCGUCGCCGCUAACGCAUUAAGUUAUCCGCCUGGGGAGUACGGCCGCAAGGUUAAAACUCAAAGGAAUUGACGGGGGCCCGCACAAGCGGUGGAGCAUGUGGUUUAAUUCGACGCUACGCGAAGAACCUUACCUGGGCUCGAACGACUGGUAGUAGCUGGGAUGAAAGUUCCGGCGACCCGCAAGGGAGCCAGCCGAGGUGCUGCAUGGCUGUCGU